AUACAGAGGGUGCGAGCGUUAAUCGGAAUUACUGGACGUAAAGCGCGCGUAGGCGGCUUGGUCAGUCGGAUGUGAAAGCCCCGGGCUCAACCUGGGAAUGGCAUCCGAUACUGCCAGGCUAGAGUAUGGGAGAGGGAAGUGGAAUUUCCGGUGUAGCGGUGAAAUGCGUAGAUAUCGGAAGGAACACCAGUGGCGAAGGCGACUUCCUGGCCCAAUACUGACGCUGAGGUGCGAAAGCGUGGGGAGCGAACAGGAUUAGAAACCCUAGUAGUCC
rnacentral:rRNA from 1 species